UGCUACGGCCACGUCCCCCUGAACGAGCCCGAUCCCGCCUGAUCUCGGAAGCUCAGCGGGGUCGGGCCUGGUUAGUCCUUGGAUGGGAGACCACCUAGGAAGACCAGGUGCUGCAGGCA
rnacentral:rRNA from 1 species